AGUGAACGCUGGCGGUAGGCCUAACACAUGCAAGUCGAACGGCAGCACAGGAGAGCUUGCUCUCUGGGUGGCGAGUGGCGGACGGGUGAGGAAUACAUCGGAAUCUACUCUGUCGUGGGGGAUAACGUAGGGAAACUUACGCUAAUACCGCAUACGACCUACGGGUGAAAGCAGGGGACCUUCGGGCCUUGCGCGAUUGAAUGAGCCGAUGUCGGAUUAGCUAGUUGGCGGGGUAAAGGCCCACCAAGGCGACGAUCCGUAGCUGGUCUGAUAGGGUGAACAGCCACACUGGAACUGAGACACGGUCCAGACUCCUACGGGAGGCAGCAGUGGGGAAUAUUGGACAAUGGGCGCAAGCCUGAUCCAGCCAUACCGCGUGGGUGAAGAAGGCCUUCGGGUUGUAAAGCCCUUUUGUUGGGAAAGAAAUCCAGCUGGCUAAUACCCGGUUGGGAUGACGGUACCCAAAGAAUAAGCACCGGCUAACUUCGUGCCAGCAGCCGCCGUAA
rnacentral:rRNA from 1 species